AGGGGCUUAGGAUAAUCUCAAACCAAGAGCCUUCAAAGCUCUAAAUAAGGGCCAAAAACCCUUAGCCCCUG
rnacentral:tRNA from 1 species